CUGCCAAGUUUGGGGGUGGUUAGGGAGUGUUAGGUAUGGCAUCGAUGAUUUAUCUUGCAUGAGCGGUAUACUUUGCAGGUGCAAACUACAAAGACUUUACACAGCUGUGAGACAAGGCAACUGCCGUGCCUCUGUGGCCUGUGACUUGUGACUGAAUUUCGAAGAGUUUAGUAUCAAGAUGUAAGCGGAGAAGGUGUAGAGUGCUUGGUUUCAGACCUCACAUCGUGUUCUGAAAGGAUUUGAACCGCUGAUCCGGGGCAGGAAUGUCGUGCAAUUAGCAAAGAUUGAUUAAUCCUGCACCCUUCAGGAAUGACCCUCAGCCCAUUUCUGUCUGUUUUUAACGAGGCCGCGUUGCUAGCUUGACGCUCAACCCAGCGCGGAUGGAAAGUAUGCAAAAGAGCCACCAGGAUUCGAUCCCAGGACCACUCGCCUCGAAGUCCAGCGUGGAUGUCACUACGCUACUGAUUGGCUGCUGGAGCAGGAUUAAAUAAUGAAUGAUGUUCCUAAUCGUUUGGCCGCUGUUGCAACAAGUUGUUCAAAGGAGAAAGCAGGAGCGGAAUUUGCCAUGGGAGAUGUGGAAUAUGUCGUCUACCUGUAAUUUACCCAGUUCUAGAACAGAUGUGGAAGCCUUCCUUCACCUGCCCAAUUCUGAAAUGGAUAUGGGAGCUGCCUUUUUCCACAAGCCCGGCUCUUCCGGUUUAAAUUGGCGUUGGUGAAUCCCAGCAAAUACGUACUGGUGGCAAA